GACGAAGCCGUGCGAACGUUGUUCGGAUUCACUGGGCUUAAAGGGCGCGUAGGCGGACGGUCAAGUCGGGGGUUGAAAUCUUUCAGCUUAACUGGAAAGUGCCUCCGAUACUGACUGCUCGAGGGAGGUAUGGGGCAUGUGGAACUUCCGGUGGAGCGGUGGAAAUGACGUAGAUAUCGGAAGGAACGCCGGUGGCGAAAGCGACGUGCUGGACCUCUUCUGACGCUGAGGCGACGAA
rnacentral:rRNA from 1 species